AGCGGCGGAGGCAUGUGGAUUAAUUCGAUGCAACGCGAAGAACCUUACCUGGGCUUGACAUGUUCCCGACAGCCCCAGAGAUGGGGCCUCCCUUCGGGGCGGGUUCACAGGUGGUGCAUGGUCGUCGUCAGCUCGUGUCGUGAGAUGUUGGGUUAAGUCCCGCAACGAGCGCAACCCUCGCCCUGUGUUGCCAGCACGUCGUGGUGGGAACUCACGGGGGACCGCCGGGGUCAACUCGGA
rnacentral:rRNA from 1 species